UGGUCAAGUUAUUAAGGGUGCAGGGCGGAUGCCUUGGCACUAGGAGCCGAUGCAGGCCGUGAACAGCGGCGAUAAGCUCCUGUGAGUUGCACGUAAACUUUGUUCCGAAGAAUUCCGAAUGGGGCAACUCACUCAGUGUAAUGUCUACGUUACAUUGAGUGAAUACAUAGCUUAAUGAGGGAGACUCG
rnacentral:rRNA from 1 species